GUUACACGCACGCGUGUGUCGUUCUAGGUGACAGAGGCAGCGGCUACCGCAGGAGACGGGGGAUCUCUGAGGGGAGCCCGUCCCGCCAGAAGGGAGAGUAAUGGCAUCCCUCCCGGCCGCGGAAGGAGGACAUGUGUGAAGAAGGAAUCCACAGCACAAAGAGCAUAACAGAUCUGUAGCAUCCUAGUAAUGCAGAAAGAAUAGUUACAUGCCAAGGACCAAAUAUGUGUGCCUUAAAGUUCCCCAGCGUUCUGUAUACUCUUUAUUUGCAUUUGAGAUUACUUGACCACUGUGGAAUGCAUCCUUGGGCUUUCUGAAAUCCAUGAAAUGACACAGGGUGAUGAGAAGUUAUCCUGAGAGAAGGGGGUGAUAUUGCAAAACCUGUCUGGAAGAUAGCGGCAAUACUGCUGGUUCCUGGCUUGGGUUGUGUAUGCUACACGAAUACAAAUGGCAUUUACGCUUGAUUAAAGGUAAUGUAAUCAAA